UGCACAACACGUGGGGGGCGGGGCUGGCUAGGGCCUUGGUGAGUGGGCGUGACUAUGUAAACUAAGCGCGCGUUGGACGCUGGGUUGAGCUGUGGGGCUUCCCUUAAGACCCCAACAGGAAGAAGUCUACUUUACUACCCCAGCAGGAUGAUUUUCUCUUCACCCAGCAAUAGCGCAGCCAAUGAGACUGCCACAACUCAGCCAACAAGAAACUGUCACUACCUUGAUUUUCCUCCAAUGGACUUUCCUUCAAAGCAACCCCUCCCAACUUCCUCUUUUUCUCUACAAGAUGGGGAAACUGAGGCUGAAGACCAGUACUGUCUUGCCCAGGCAAGCUUCACCCAGGCUCCCGGGUAUCCUAACCUAUGGAAAGUUCUUGAUUUGUUUGUUUUUUUUCCUUCAAUCUAAUUACAGACAGUGGUCAUAGGAUGAAGAUUUUGAAGUAAGAGAGGAAGGUGAAGUUC